CAUUUGGUUAAGGAUCCGGCGUUGCCAUGAGCUGCGGCAUAGGUGACAGUCGUGGCUCAGAUCUAGCAUUGUUGUGGCUGUGGUGUAGGCCAGAAGCUGCAGCCCCAAUUCGACCCCUAACCUGAGAACUUCCAUAUGCCAUGGGUUCAGCAGUAAAAAGAAAAAAAAAAAAAUCAAAUUUAUAAACAUACUUAAAAUUGUAUCUUUGAACUCCUUCUUAAUUACAAUUCUAGGAUUUGUUUCUGGAAGCCAGUUAGGUGAGUCACAAGCUUGCUGGUGGUGUUUGAGCAAAUCACCACACAGCAAGGUGGCACUGAUUCAUACUUACUCCAGUGGUUUAUGGCAAUGCUCAUUUCACCUCACCUUUAUCAACACCAGAUACCAUCAUCGUUCUUGAUUCUCCUUUUCAUGAGCAGCAUUGUUAUGGUUUGCUCAGCAAAUCAUUGAAAAAAAUCUUAGACUUGGUAGCUUCUACCCUGGUCCUGCAGAUACUUCAGAUGAUUUUCUUUUAUCCAUCAGUUAUUCUUGUAUAUAUUUAACUAUUGAACAUCCAUUACAUGUCCAGCACUGCCCAAAUGUUUAUAGAUGAUGUGGUAUCUGAUUUUGGGAAAUCCCUUAUAUUUAAUAUUAAAGUUAGAAAAGGAAAGAAGAGAAAAUAAGUAGGGCCAUAUGAAUCUUACUUACUUCAAUGUUCAGCACCUGAACAGAGUGCCUGGUAAAUGGUAGACUCUCGAUCAAAUUCAAGAGCUCAUCAUUCACGAAUGAAUUUGUGAAUAAGUGUAUGAUAAUGUUUGCAUAAGUGAUGAAGAGAACAAAAUAAAGGGGUGAUUAUUUUAAGUUAGGGACAAUAAGGGAAGGCUGCGUGCCAUUGUCUUGACUCAACAGAAGCCAGAAAGCAUGAGAGCUGAGUCUGCAAAGAGCUGCAAAGGAGAGGCCACCACAUGGCAGAGGAAGGACCUGAAGGAGCAAAUAGAGAAUAAUCAGGACACCAGCUCUGAUACCUACUCUCUGGGGUAUUCCAGGACUUCCUGCCUGCAGAGACCCUCAGUAGAAGCACUGCACGCCCUGCUGUGA
rnacentral:lncRNA from 1 species